AGUUUUGCACAGAGGCAGUAUCAUAGCCAUGGAGGUUUAUCUGGGGUGAGAUUAUUGCUAAUUGAAAAUGAAAACAAUAAAGACAGAAUUAUGUUAGGAGACAGACUGUAGCCCUUCAUUGGGAGGGCAUUGGUGUAAACAGCACCCUCACAGUCACAUCUCUUUGUUCUUGUCUUCCUGGAAGCCCACUUGUUCCUAGGUAAGGUUGGG
rnacentral:snRNA from 1 species